CCUGGUUGAUCUUGCCAGUAGUCAUAUGCUUGUCUCAAAGAUUAAGCCAUGCAAGUGAAAGUAUAUACACAAUUAUUGUAGAAACUGCGAACGGCUCAUUAAAACAGUUAUAAUCUACUUGACAUUUUAUUAUAAGGAUAACUACGGAAAAGCUGUAGCUAAUACUUGUAAGUACAUUUACUCUAAGGAGUAAUUAGUACGUAUUUGUUAAGACCCCUAAGAAAAAAUGAUAUUAAAGGAAUUAUAACAAAGAAGCGACACAUAAUGUAAUAUUCAGUGUGUAUCAAUCGAGUUUCUGACCUAUCAGCUUUUGAUGUUAGGGUAUUGCCCUAACAUGGCUUUGACGGGUAACGGGGAAUUAGAGUUCGAUUCCGGAGAGGGAGCCUGAGAAAUAGCUACCACAUCUAAGGAAGGCAGCAGGCGCGUAAAUUACCCAAUUCUAAAUAAGAGAGGUAGUGACAAGAAAUAACAAUAUAAGGCCAAAUUUUGGUUUUAUAAUUGGAAUGAUGGGAACUUAAAACCUUCCCAAAAAUCAAUUGGAGGGCAAGUCUGGUGCCAGCAGCCGCGGUAAUUCCAGCUCCAAUAGCGUAUAUUAAAAUUGUUGCAGUUAAAACGCUCGUAGUUUAAUUUCAAGGGUAAUAUUAUUUUAAGUACUCACUUGGAAAGAAUGUGACUUCGGUCAUAGUUUGUAUCCUAGAUGGCGUUCUUUUAAUUACAGGCCCUUUGAGAACUCAUUAAUUUAUAACUGAGUUUCUCGUUACUUUGAGUAAAUUAGAGUGUUUAAAGCAUACAGAUAAAACGUAUUUUACUGUGUUUGAAUACUAUAGCAUGGAAUAACAACAUUGAAUAAGUCAAAAAUUUUUGAAAAAUUUUUCUUAUUUUGGCUUAGAUACAGUUAAUAGGAGUAGCUUGGGGGCAUUUGUAUUCAGAUGUCAGAGGUGAAAUUCUUAGAUUUUCUGGAGACAAACAACUGCGAAAGCAUUUGCCUAAAAUACUUCCAUUAAUCAAGAACGAAAGUUAAGGGAGUGAAGACGAUCAGAUACCGUCGUAAUCUUAACCAUAAACUAUGCCGACUAAGUGUUGGAUGAAAAUUUAUAAAUAAAGCUAUCUUCUUUAAAAGGAGUAGUUUUUUAGAUGCUUCCUUCAGUACCUUAUGAGAAAUCAAAGUCUUUGGGUUCUGGGGCGAGUAUUCGCGCAAGCGAGAAAGUUAAAAGAAUUGACGGAAGGGCACCACCAGGCGUGGAGCUUGCGGCUUAAUUUGACUCAACACGGGGAACCUCACUAGUUUAAGACAAGAGUAGGAUUGACAGAUUAAUAGCUCUUUCUUGAUUUCUUGGAUGGUGAUGCAUGGCCGUUUUUAGUUCGUGAAUAUGAUUUGUCUGGUUAAUUCCGAUAACGAACGAGAUCUUAACCUGCUAAU
rnacentral:rRNA from 1 species